rnacentral:lncRNA from 1 species
ACAAUAAUUUUAUUUAUUUAGUUCAAGAAAAACGAAGUACAAGGAUGUGAAGAACAACUCUCUUGUAUAUAUAUAUAUAUAUAUUCCAAGAGAUCUUAUUAUUCGAAUUUAAGCAAAGCGACAUGUACUCACACAAUUGACAAGAUGGUGCCCAUUACAUCCUUUUGCAUUAGCACUGCACUUAACCAGAUUCGUCGGGGUUUCUUCCGUACUGAGGGACUAUAAGAAGAUCAAGAUUCUCAUUCCCCAUCCCAUCCUCAAUAAUACAGCCAUGAAAAGGAGCGAUGCUAGCCUCAGACCACUCCUUGUUACCUGAAAAUUUCAAAUCAGAAAACUUGUUCAUAAAGGAAAAGAUUAAUAUAAUAAUCAUAAAUGGAAUUCAACUUAACAUGGCCUGAUGAAUUACCCGCACAAAUAGUUUCCAUAUUCUUCAAAUCAGAAAAGAGCUCUGCCAGCUUCUGCACAAGUAAUUAAGUUAUUUUUGUGAGUUCUUAAUUGUGGUUACUUCGGGUGUGAUAUAACACAAUAUAUAGACACAGGCAGCCAACAUGAAACUAUAUAAUAUAUCAUUAGCAACAAUUUACAUUACGAAAAUAUAUAUAAAUUCUAGUUGCUGUCGGUGCAAAUGGAUAACGGAUCGAUGGCUGAUGUUCA